rnacentral:rRNA from 1 species
GAAGGUCCGGGCGUUAUCCGGAUUAAUUGGGUUUAAAGGGAGCGCAGGCGGAAGAUUAAGUCAGCUGUGAAAUACGGUGGCUCAACCAUCGGGCUGCAGUUGAAACUGGUUUUCUUGAGUUCGCACAGGGAUGCCGGAAUUCAUGGUGUAGCGGUGAAAUGCUCAGAUAUCAUGAAGAACUCCGAUCGCGAAGGCAGGCAUCCGGAGCGCGACUGACGCUGAGGCUCGAAAGUGCGGGUAUCAAA